GAAGGCUGUUGAUUCAUUGAACUGUGGGACACCUCAGCUCUAACAAAAGAGGAGCUUGUAGACCACAAACAUGUUUAUUACCAGCAGGAGUCUUGCAAGACAGUUAAAAGAACUCAAGGCGCAGAGCUUAUGACACAAAUUUGCACAUGUAAAUUUAUUUGUACAGAUGCCUCUGGGAAUUGAGUUGGUGAAUGGCGGCGGGGUGGGGUCUUACCAGUACUGGAAUUUGGAGGGCACCCAGCCAGGUGUGCAGAGCCUUUGGUCCUCUAGAUGUUGCUGAACUACUAUCAUCCCUUGCUAUUGGCCAUGCUUCCUGGGGCUGAUGAGCAUUGUUGUUCAGCAACAUCUGGAGGGCCUAAGGUCCCCCAGCCCUGUGAUAAGCAAAGUAUUUUUCCAGGGCCUGAUGCAAAAGAUCUGGGGCUCUCAUGCCACCACCUUGGGCUAGCCCCAAGCACUCUUCUGGUGCUUCUGAGACUCUUCUGCCUACCAACUGUACCAACACUCUGUUGCUGGGGCCUCUCUUGCCUUUUAGACUCAAAGCAAAGCCAUUGCAAGGCUGUGUACACGCGACAGUUUAAAGUGGAUUUGAUGCUUUUCCCAUGUGCAUGUUUUUACCCUGUCCACACAUUGUCCUCAUCCAAGUGUCAAGCCUGCAUUCCUCUCCUCUCAUUUAAUCUGGAUUUUCCCAAUUUGUGGAUAAUGAGGGGUGUCUGGGGUGGGAGAAUGCAACAUAAAAUAAUAGCUGUGAGUGCAUUGAAGUACAUGGUAUGGGCAUGGUUUUUUUUGGUUUUUUUAAUGUGUGUGGUGACAUUUUGCUGUGUUUCAUCUAGCACCACAUCCCCUACUUCCUUGGUGAGGAGGUCCUCUGUGGGCUGCUAGUGGUGCUGGGUGUGGCACGUGUGUUCUGUAUUUAAACCCACUUUGUGGAUCUCGAAAAAGGCCGUCUCAAAAAUUGGCUAUACACACCGGCAAACAAGUACCUGCACACAUGUCCACAAUGGACCUCAAGUUUCCAGAACUCAGGAAGGGUAGGGAUGUACUACUAAUUGAGGAGAGGAGACAACAAAACAGAACGCAGAUUUAUCCCAUCAGGCACCGCCCACUAGUGUGAAAGGGAGCCGCUGAGCUAGAGUUCAGCUGGCAAAUGCCCAUGUGUGGAUGAAGAUGCACAAAAGCACACAUGGAAAAAUGGAUCUCUGUGAUCUGUGUGCUCCUUAACACUCUGGUGUGCACACAGCCUAAGUUAUAGGAACUUUCAGAUGUGAUUUUAAAUAUGUACGCUUUUAAAAAAUGCAAAUAACAGCCCCUGAUUGUGGAGGGGAGGGGAGAAGAGUCACAUUGAUCAUUUAGGGGGAUUGCUCAAAAUGGAGAAGGCAGGAGUGGAACACCCCUUCCCUUGCUGUGGUCCUGAUGAAAACUGUUUCUCCAAAGCCUCUUGGUUUGCAUUGGGAGGAAUUUCUGUUGGUGUGAAUGAGUUUUUUCUUCUUCUAAGUGUAAAUUAGUAAGAUGAGUGAUUUUUGUUGAGAACCUAACAAAGGAAGAAGGGGUUCAAAAAACACCUCUGGGGCUGCUGCAAAACCACUAUCAGUCUCCCCCACCCCAGGGGUUGUUAUUAGUAUUAUUAAAAAUGCACGCUCUCAUCUAAUUUGGCCCUCCAUAUCUUUGGUUAGACUGGAUAUGGGUACCAUUCAAGUAAACAGUUUAGCACCAACAGUAUUCUUGUUCCAACAGUUCCAAAGUUUUUGAUACUGUUAAUAAGAAGAUCCCACUGAGGAGAUUUGGGCACAUGUUUCUCUGAUCCCUACAGGACAGGUGCUUUUUUAAAAAAGAGAUGAUAAUGAAACUCAUUUAUUUGUUAAGUUCCUGCCCUGCCUAUUUCUCCAAAAAGACUCAAAUUAUUAUUGUUCAUUGUGUACAGCAAUUGGUACAUGCCUGUUUGGUAGACAAAGGCAGGUUCUGAAAACAAAUUGUAUAUCACUACCCUCACUGGAGACCCAGAAAUGGCUGCAGCUCCUUGUGGAGGGGUUGUCAAUAAGGCACCCAUGGGUGCACAUGCCUGUUUUGGGACGACCCCCCCCCCCCAAUAGCUCUGUCCCUUUUCCCCACGAAUAAGCCAGCUGUUGUAAAAGAAGCAAACGUGCCAGUUGUCAUCUACAGGUUGUAGACUCCAGCUUUUCUUGGUGCAGGAUUUUGACUUCCUGGCUGCCUCCGCCUCUCUUUCUAUGCGUGGCCUUUGUGGGCAGAACGAGAGCGCCUGAUAGAUGUCAGCCUCGCCUGUCCCAGGUCCUUUUGCGUCUGCUGCCCCCAACUGGCUUGCUGUGUUCAUCAGUGGUGGGUUCACUCUGGCGAAUGCGCCCGGCUUGAACGCCAUGUGCAAGUUAGAAACCUUGGUGCGGGCGGCUGUCUCCUCUCUUCCUUUCUUCCUAGGCUUGGUGGCUUUGCUUCUCACCCUUCCCCCUCCACCCCCACAAUGUCAGCAGGGCUGUGUCCAAAGCUGAGCCGGGAGAAAUGUUCUCCGCUCUCCAGGGCCAGCAUUGCAGUGGCUGGAGCAGACUUGGAGGAAGCGUCGCCAAGCUGAGCAGGCUGUUGCCGGAACCAAUUAGCCUCCAGCCAGCAGGCAGAGUUUCAGCCCCUGUUCUUUCCGGCCUUCUCUCUCUCUCUCUCUCUCUCUCUCUCUCUCUCUCUGUCCCCCCCGCCUCCAGGAUCUCUCUGCCUCUCCAUUCCUCUCCUUGUCGGAGCUUGUUUUGGGCAACGUGGGGUUGCAGUGAGUCACGCCGCGCGUAGGGGAUUUUAAAAGCAUUCUGUUGUCGCUCAGUGCUUUGGCGCUGGGGGCGGAACAAAUGAUGGGCUCUUGCAGACAGCCUUGGCUGGGGAAGGAAGGCAGAGCUGGGGAAUGACUGUGUGUGUGUGUGUGUGUGUGUGUGUGUGUCCCUUUAAUCUCUUCGGUGGGGGAGGGCUUGGUUUGGGGAGGGGGCUCCUCUCUCUCCCCUUAUAAAAGUAAUUCUGCUAUUCCGCAGGUGAAAUUCACAAGCCAAAGAGAUAAAGAUAAUUUGUUGCAGCAUAUGUUGAAACAUAGGAAGCUGUUUUAUACUGAAUCAGACCACUGAGUCCAUUCACUCAGUACAGUAUUGUUUACACUGACUGGCAGGGCUCUCCAGGGAUUCAGGCAUGGGCUGACUCUCCCAACCCUACCUGGGCAUGCUGGCGAAUGGGACCUGGGACCUUCUGCAUGUAAAACAGAUGUGAUGGCCCUUGCAUGGCUUGCAGUUUAUAUGCAGGCACACUUUCCUGCCCCUUCAGAGAUCACCCACACGUUCAGAGUGUACUUGGAAGAAAUAGAAGAGUGUUGCUGUGGCUGAAACUGAUCUGCAGGUAUGAAUGUCCCAUUUCAAAACACUUCCGCGAAGAACUAGGUGGCUUUAGGCAACCCCCCUCAUCCCAUUCUCAGCCCCCGCUCCCCCAGAUCUGCAACCCAAAGAUAAUAUUGACCGAUCUACCAUAUAGGGCUGUUGUAAGGAUUAUGACAAGGUAACACGUGAAGCAUUUCUGAACAUUUGAAAGUGGUACAUAAGUGUUCGCGGUGUUAUUGCAGUUUAUCCUUCUUCCCUCCACCCCUUCCCUGCGAUGCACACACUGUAAUUUGAGCCUGGCUAUCCUCCGGCCUUCCUGCACCACCCAGCUCAUCUGCAACUGGGGGCUGAAGGCCUCUUUCCAUUUCCCUUGAGAGGUGUGUGUGUGUGUGUUUGUGUGUGGCUGCUGUCUGAAACAUCCAGCCGCUGAGUCACUGAUGAAACUUUAGAGCUAGUGGAACUUAUUUGAGCUUGCAGGGAGGAAGGGGAGGGGGAGAGGAAGAGGAGAGAGGUUUAUCAGGAAGAUUGGGGCCGGAUAUGUGGUUACCCAGUUUUCAGACUGUGGCGCAGAAUAGAUGACAGGGCAAAAGAUGAUGCUGAGGGCCGAAUCUUCCUCCUGUCUGUUUCUAAAAUGGGGAGCUGGGGUGGGGGCUCUCCCUGGGCAGCUAACAUCCUGUUGUCAUUCUCUUCUCCUUCACCUCUUCCUCCUCCUCCUGGUUUUUUUUCUUUUUCUUUUUUUUCUUUUAAAGCCUUGCCAUGCCUUGAGCUGUGCACUGGUAAGACAUUUGCAGUGCCACUGGAUCUGGAGAGGAGAGAUUUAGGUCAAGCGCUCAAGUGAGUAGAAACAGCCAUCUGUGAGCAGUAUGAAGAAGGCCAGGCCACCCAGAGAUGAGAGAUUGAAAUGGCCUGCGCUGAGAGACUGGAGAAGGGCGGUAUUUGGCGGGGGUCGGGGUGUGCGGGGGCAGGUCGUAUGGCUGGAAAGCAAGCUGGCUUUUUUAAAAAGGAAAAAGCACCAUGAUUGGAACGGACAUUCUUCCCUCCCUCCCUCCACAGACUUUUAUUCCUCUCCCCCCCUCUUUUGUGUCUCCUGGAAAAAGAAAAAGAAACCCCAACCAAAUCCUUCCCUCCCUCCCCCUUUCUUCCUGACCCUCCUUCCCUGGCAGGGCUGCUGUCAAAUGAAGGAGAAAGCUAUGCUGGAGCUGCCUAGGCGAAGAUCCAAGAUCAUCCUGACAUCUAACAGGAAGGUGUGUGUGUGUGUGUGUGUGUGUGUGUGUGUGCGCUUGCUUGCGUGAGCAUGAGCUGUGCGGGUGGGGUGGAGAGCAGAUAAGAUGAUACUCAGCCAAAGUGUCAGGGACAGAAUUAGGCACACACUGGGGGGGGGGGGAGAGGGAGGGAGAAGUGCUGCAAAAGUUUUACAGCAUGCUCUUGAGAAUUUGCUGCAGGGAGUCUGGCUCAGCUCUCUGGUGGCAGAGGCGAUCUGCAGCAGAAGUAGACAGUAGCAAAGCAGCACAGUGUAGGGUGGGUUCAGAAGAGGAGGGGAGCACCGGUGACUUAAUUUAGCCGUCCAGGUCGAGGCCAAAGCAUGUUGGAGCCGCCUCGGUUUGUGACCAAGAACAUGCCUCAUAAAAACUUAACGAUUCACCGAGCAGCCUUGCCUGUGCGCACUUGAAAAGCAAGAGCCUCUUGUGGUUCCCGGUGGGAAGAGCAUCCUUUGCCAGGCCAGAUGUUCCAGACUGCAACUCUCAUCAGCUCCAGCCAGUGCUGUAGUCCAAAAUACCUGGAGGGGCGGCAGGUUAGCAAGGUGGGGUUAGAGUGUUGGAUGUAGAUUUGGGUGACACUCCCUUCCAGUGAUUUGCUUUGUGGCUUUGGGCACGACCACCUCUUAACAACAACAACAAAUUAUUUACAUGCCAUCCAUCUGACUGAGUUGUCCUAGCCACUCUGGGCAGUUUCCAACAAAUUAAACACAUUAAGCACAGUAAAAUAUCAAACAUUAAAAACAUCCCUGUACAGGGAGGUAUCUCAGCCUGGAGCCAACUCCAGGGAGCCGUGGGUGCUUCACCACCCACAAUAAUAUAUUUGUAGGGGCUGGGCUUCCUUAAAGUCAGUGGGCAAAGUUGAAGCCCCUUUUUUUGCGGGUGCCCACAAUCUUCGGUGUGAGAGGGCACCUAUGCUCGGCCUCACCUCAGCAGCUGUGCCUACAACCAUCUUUCGCUGUGGGGAGCGGUCGGCGGAGAUCUUUUAAAAUAAAAUGGAAAAUUAUGGGUCCAUAAUGUGGGGAGCACAAGCUUUACUUGGAAUGGGUACUGAGACAUAUUUUCGCCUCCAGGCUUGCACAAGAUAUGUACUAUGGAGGGAGAGGUUGCCUGCCUUGUUUCUUUCCCCACCUCCCAGCACUAUCCCAGAGAGACUUGCCUCAUGAGAGCAGAAGAGCCCUGCUAGAUUGGGCCAAAUGCUUAUCUAGUCAAGCGUCCUGCCUCCCACCAUUGAACAAAUGCCUGUGGGAAGUCAACAAGGAGGACAUGAACAUAAAAGCCCUCUGUAGCUACCCAGCUGCUAGUAUUCAGUGGCAUAAUACCUCUGGACCUGGAAAUUGCAUGUAGGUAUUGUGACUAGUAGCCACUGAUAAGACUUAGCCUCCUAUGAAUUUCACUAGCCCCCAUUGUACAGCCACUUUGGUUACUGGUCACCCUGUGCCUGAAUAUUCCACAAGCUCAUUCCUUUGUACUGAACCUGCUACCAAUUUCACUGGGGGACCUUGCAUUCUAGUAUAGUGUGAGAGGAAUGGAAAAUUGCCCCAUGCUUUCUCCAUGCUAUGCAUAAUGUUAUUAAUUCCUGUGAUGGGCCCUCUUCCCCUCUCCCUGGCCUUGACCCCCCGCCCCCAAAAAACUGAAAAGCCUGUAAUAUAGAAUUGUGGAGUUAGGGUCAACCCCCUGCAAUGCAGGAAUCUCACAUGCAGCCAACCAUCCCAGACCCUGCUUAGCUUUGCAAAUGUGCUAGCAGUUUCAUUGUUUCACCAUUAGGGUCACCAUUCCACGGGAAUUCAUUGGGGUCAUUUGUAGUAACGCCUUUAAGCGGUUUACAGGAAACAAGUGGUAUAUAAAUUUUGCUAAAUAAAUGAAUUUUUACUAAGAUUUUCUUUUGGAUCUGGAAGAACCAAGUCUGAAUUUGGGCUCAGCCAUUAACCUAGUAGUUGGCAAGUCAACAACUUUUUUUUUUUUUUGUAAAAUAGGAAUGUCAAUACACUUCCCCACCCUCCUACCCCUGCUGUAAUGUGGGAAUAUGGUUAACCAAUUGUAUGUUAUUAGUAAAGACAGAUGAGUUAAGGACACGUAGAAGGAUAUGCACAAGUGAUCCUGAUGGGAAGUGCAGGGGUUUUUUUUUAAAGGCGGGGGACUUUGAAUCAUAUUGAAACUCUAGUUGCAGAGCGUCAGAACAAGCCCUGAAAAUGCUGCGGCUUUUGUUGUGCAAGCUUCUACCUGUCUCCAUGGCUCAGUUUCCCCACUCACUGGUGGCACACCCUUUCGUCAUGUUUGCUUCACCUCUGUGCUUUGCCAUGGCUGGGGAUGCUGCACCUCAAAGCUUUGGUGCACCCUGGGCUCACAGCUCAUGUUGUGGCAGCCCUCUGGGCGUUGAGAUUCUUAUAUUCUUAAAGCUGCUUUCAGGUUGGUGAGCAGGAAACAGGCAAAGCAGCAAGUUUGUACACAUGGCUUGGCCUGGCUGGGACUCUGGGACACAGCAGUUGGUUUCAUUCCCAUAUGGAGUGGGUUUUCCCCUUCUCCUUUGCUUUUCUAAAGGCCUUUUUGCUCCGACCCUGAAAGCACGGUCACAUUCACAUUGUGCAAUACUUCUUUCUGCAAUUCUCUCCCCCUCCCCUCUUGUGACAAUCACGCAACCUCCCUACUGCAUCUAUUAGGUGGGGUGGGAAGAGAGAAGAACUCUGCAUUUUUGUGGUAUUUUAAAGCCUCUUGGUAUAGAAAAGUACUUAUUUGCAGGAGUUUUGGAGCAGUGGAGUGCCCACCUACCAAAAUAAAAGGCUUAGAAUGUUGUGAGCAUCGAGUGGGGGUGUCUUGUUAGCCCCCACCAGUGAAUUCACAAACAAAAUCCAAUAGCUGCCCAUGGCUUUUUUACGUACUGUGGCUCAUGUGGCAAUCCAAAUGGAAACAAGUGAACUAACUUGAGGGUGGAGUAAUGCAUUUACUCAGAUGCUGCAAUUCACGGUGCAGGGUGCGCCCUCCAACUAAAAUGCUGCCUUGAUGGAAGAUGUGCGGAAUGCAGGCAACAAAAUAGGAAGCAGAUGUAUAUUAUGCAAGACCAGGUAGCAUAAAAAGACCUUGAUGAGGCCGAGUCCAUAUCAAUGGGAGUGUUUUAUUUCACUUUGUGAUUCCAUGCUGCCCCUAAAUAAUCUGCAUGUUUUCUGUUCACAUAGCCCACCCCACUUUGCAAGCUUCCUGUUUACGUAGCCCCCCCCCCCGCAACCUCAUGGUUGGAACUUUUAUUUGUAAACAUGGAAUUCUACUCAUUCAGCUAUACAGCUUCCAAUAGGUUUGAUGCUUAAAGGGGAAGGGGGAAAUGACAGGAUAGGGAUGCUGACAGCAUUUCAUUCUCAGGAUCACAGGGUAGUCAAGUUUUUGGGUUCACAAGUUGGGAGAUUUUGUAAUUAGUGGCUGCCAAAAUGCACAGUUAUUACUGUGCAUGGUGAUAAUUUCACUAUAACGUUUUAGCUGAGUAUCAGUUAUUAUAUUGUUGUGGAGUAUAUCCUAUAUGUGUUCUGUUUCGUGGUAAUUGUCGUUUAAGCCUUAAUUCAAAGGUUAAUUGUGGGGAUUAUUUAGCAUUUCAAAACAGACAAAGUUAGCAAGGUGACUUAGCUUGGAUGUAGUCAGGGUCAAGUUUACCACAAUGUGGUUUGAGUUAGGAGAACGGCUACAAAAAGUUUAUGUGGGUGGAUCGGCACCACCAGUAUCUUGGGGCAGAGGAAUUUAUUUGUUCAACAAAAUGUAUAUACCAUUUGAUUGUAAUACAACCUCUAAGUGGUUUACAAGAAAUAUUAAUGUUAUAAAUACAACCAUUUAAAAUCAUUUUAACGUAAUU